rnacentral:rRNA from 1 species
GGCAGCAGCUAAGAAUAUUCCGCAAUGGUCGAAAGACUGACGGAGCGACGCCGCGUGAAUGAUGAAGGCCGUGAGGUUGUAAAGUUCUUUUCUGGAGGGAGAAUAAGUGCAUCAGGGAAUGGGUGCAUGAUGACGUGAAUCCAGGAAUAAGCCCCGGCUAACUACGUGCCAGCAGCCGCGGUAACACGUAGGGGGCAAGCGUUGUUCGGAAUUAUUGGGCGUAAAGGGCGCGCAGGCGGCCUGGCAAGUCUGCUGUUAAAUGGUUGAGCUUAACUCAAUCAUGCGGUGGAAACUACAAGGCUAGAAUCAACGAGGGGAUGCCGGAAUUCCAGGUGUAGGGGUGAAAUCUGUAGAUAUCUGGAAGAACACCAAUGGCGAAGGCAGGCAUCUGGCGACUGAUUGACGCUGAGGCGCGAAGGUGCGGGGAGCAAACAGGUUUAGAUAUCCUGGUAGUCCGCACAGUAAACGAUGUGCACCAGGUGGCGGGUAGCAGUACUCGGUACCGAAGCAAACGCAUUAAGUGCACCGCCUGGGGAGUAUGCUCGCAAGGGUGAAACUCAAGGAAUUGACGG